GUGAAAAGAAUUUUAGAAUUUAUGUCACAUUUUGUUGUGCCAAAUUACUUUCAACCAGGCGUGCACAAUGUAAUACCAGAUGUCCAAACUCAAGUUGGUUUGAAUGUUGAUAAUUAAUGGCAAUUUUCAUUCAUAAUUUGACAUAAAUUUCACUCCUACAUACUAUGUACUUGUGCAUCUGUACAGAAUGGGGUAUAUUGCCCUGUGCUAACACCAGAUGCAUUGUGUCAGGAUAAAGUCUAUCAGCCCCAUGGAUUUUUUUCCAGCUGAAAAUGUAAAUACCCUAUCAAAAUCAAAUGUUGAAGUCGUAGAAAUGUAGGCUUGGCCUUCGCUACUGAUGUUGCUGUUCUUGUUCUUACAAAAGUUCUAUGGGUGUUUGCUGUUUUGGUUCAUUUGUGUGCUUGGGAGUUGAACUGCAUCGAUAGACAGGUUUUAUUUGUAAAGAGGUUUUAUUGUAGUAUUUACCAUUCAAGAGCAAGACAUGUUGCUAACCACCAUGCUGAAGUGAUUCUGAAGUGGGAUUGGAUUUCCUUUUCAAAUCUGGCUAACGCCAGGUAAUAUUUGUGGAACCUUUAACGUCUGCGGAUAUACAUUCCAAAAUCUGAAAGGGUGUCUUUCUCGCUCUAUUAGUUAUCCUUAAGUAUUUGUGGAUGAGAAGGAGCAACAGACAUUCAAGCUAUUACGAGAUUUUAAAGCAUACUACAGAACGAUACAUUUCAGCCUUGCUUAUUCAGAGCAAUGCUAUUCUUCUGUUUUCCACUCCCUCAUCUCUUCUGCUUUUCUGUGAUUGUUCUCUGCAGUACUUUGUAAGUAAUUAACAGUGCAGCAGCAGUGAGUUGCAGACACACUUUUGGAUAGAGUUAAACUUAGAUAGACAAUGUGUAAGGAUAGUGUGUUACAGAACUAUGAUCAAAGUUGUGCUGCCUUUCAUUGCAUUUUGCUAAAAGCAAGUUUUAAAUCUCAAGUUCAGAAUGGAGGUUGUGUAUCGGAAUUCAAGAACGAAGUGUUCUGCAAAUUUUACCAGACACUCAGAUUAUAUUUUCAAAAGUAAAUAUAUACAUUUGAAGUUUGUCUAAUGUCUCAUUCAAGUUGUAAACUCAAAUGGAUUAAUUUUACAGUAUGUUUUUACUAAAGUACAAAAAUACCAAGUGCUACUUCUCAUCUUGAUUGUGGAAUGUAUUUCUUUUUCUGUUUGUGGGCCACAUCCCAAAUAAAUAAGGAAUUUUGUUAUAAAA